rnacentral:rRNA from 1 species
GGUUAAGCGACUAAGCGUACACGGUGGAUGCCCUGGCAGUCAGAGGCGAUGAAGGACGUGCUAAUCUGCGAUAAGCGUCGGUAAGGUGAUAUGAACCGUUAUAACCGGCGAUUUCCGAAUGGGGAAACCCAGUGUGUUUCGACACACUAUCAUUAACUGAAUCCAUAGGUUAAUGAGGCGAACCGGGGGAACUGAAACAUCUAAGUACCCCGAGGAAAAGAAAUCAACCGAGAUUCCCCCAGUAGCGGCGAGCGAACGGGGAGGAGCCCAGAGCCUGAAUCAGUGUGUGUGUUAGUGGAAGCGUCUGGAAAGGCGCGCGAUACAGGGUGACAGCCCCGUACACAAAAAUGCACAUGCUGUGAGCUCGAUGAGUAGGGCGGGACACGUGGUAUCCUGUCUGAAUAUGGGGGGACCAUCCUCCAAGGCUAAAUACUCCUGACUGACCGAUAGUGAACCAGUACCGUGAGGGAAAGGCGAAAAGAACCCCGGCGAGGGGAGUGAAAAAGAACCUGAAACCGUGUACGUACAAGCAGUGGGAGCACGCUUAGGCGUGUGACUGCGUACCUUUUGUAUAAUGGGUCAGCGACUUAUAUUCUGUAGCAAGGUUAACCGAAUAGGGGAGCCGAAGGGAAACCGAGUCUUAACUGGGCGUUAAGUUGCAGGGUAUAGACCCGAAACCCGGUGAUCUAGCCAUGGGCAGGUUGAAGGUUGGGUAACACUAACUGGAGGACCGAACCGACUAAUGUUGAAAAAUUAGCGGAUGACUUGUGGCUGGGGGUGAAAGGCCAAUCAAACCGGGAGAUAGCUGGUUCUCCCCGAAAGCUAUUUAGGUAGCGCCUCGUGAAUUCAUCUCCGGGGGUAGAGCACUGUUUCGGCAAGGGGGUCAUCCCGACUUACCAACCCGAUGCAAACUGCGAAUACCGGAGAAUGUUAUCACGGGAGACACACGGCGGGUGCUAACGUCCGUCGUGAAGAGGGAAACAACCCAGACCGCCAGCUAAGGUCCCAAAGUCAUGGUUAAGUGGGAAACGAUGUGGGAAGGCCCAGACAGCCAGGAUGUUGGCUUAGAAGCAGCCAUCAUUUAAAGAAAGCGUAAUAGCUCACUGGUCGAGUCGGCCUGCGCGGAAGAUGUAACGGGGCUAAACCAUGCACCGAAGCUGCGGCAGCGACACUAUGUGUUGUUGGGUAGGGGAGCGUUCUGUAAGCCUGUGAAGGUGUGCUGUGAGGCAUGCUGGAGGUAUCAGAAGUGCGAAUGCUGACAUAAGUAACGAUAAAGCGGGUGAAAAGCCCGCUCGCCGGAAGACCAAGGGUUCCUGUCCAACGUUAAUCGGGGCAGGGUGAGUCGACCCCUAAGGCGAGGCCGAAAGGCGUAGUCGAUGGGAAACAGGUUAAUAUUCCUGUACUUGGUGUUACUGCGAAGGGGGGACGGAGAAGGCUAUGUUGGCCGGGCGACGGUUGUCCCGGUUUAAGCGUGUAGGCUGGUUUUCCAGGCAAAUCCGGAAAAUCAAGGCUGAGGCGUGAUGACGAGGCACUACGGUGCUGAAGCAACAAAUGCCCUGCUUCCAGGAAAAGCCUCUAAGCAUCAGGUAACAUCAAAUCGUACCCCAAACCGACACAGGUGGUCAGGUAGAGAAUACCAAGGCGCUUGAGAGAACUCGGGUGAAGGAACUAGGCAAAAUGGUGCCGUAACUUCGGGAGAAGGCACGCUGAUAUGUAGGUGAAGUCCCUCGCGGAUGGAGCUGAAAUCAGUCGAAGAUACCAGCUGGCUGCAACUGUUUAUUAAAAACACAGCACUGUGCAAACACGAAAGUGGACGUAUACGGUGUGACGCCUGCCCGGUGCCGGAAGGUUAAUUGAUGGGGUCAGCGCAAGCGAAGCUCUUGAUCGAAGCCCCGGUAAACGGCGGCCGUAACUAUAACGGUCCUAAGGUAGCGAAAUUCCUUGUCGGGUAAGUUCCGACCUGCACGAAUGGCGUAAUGAUGGCCAGGCUGUCUCCACCCGAGACUCAGUGAAAUUGAACUCGCUGUGAAGAUGCAGUGUACCCGCGGCAAGACGGAAAGACCCCGUGAACCUUUACUAUAGCUUGACACUGAACAUUGAGCCUUGAUGUGUAGGAUAGGUGGGAGGCUUUGAAGUGUGGACGCCAGUCUGCAUGGAGCCGACCUUGAAAUACCACCCUUUAAUGUUUGAUGUUCUAACGUUGACCCGUAAUCCGGGUUGCGGACAGUGUCUGGUGGGUAGUUUGACUGGGGCGGUCUCCUCCUAAAGAGUAACGGAGGAGCACGAAGGUUGGCUAAUCCUGGUCGGACAUCAGGAGGUUAGUGCAAUGGCAUAAGCCAGCUUGACUGCGAGCGUGACGGCGCGAGCAGGUGCGAAAGCAGGUCAUAGUGAUCCGGUGGUUCUGAAUGGAAGGGCCAUCGCUCAACGGAUAAAAGGUACUCCGGGGAUAACAGGCUGAUACCGCCCAAGAGUUCAUAUCGACGGCGGUGUUUGGCACCUCGAUGUCGGCUCAUCACAUCCUGGGGCUGAAGUAGGUCCCAAGGGUAUGGCUGUUCGCCAUUUAAAGUGGUACGCGAGCUGGGUUUAGAACGUCGUGAGACAGUUCGGUCCCUAUCUGCCGUGGGCGCUGGAGAACUGAGGGGGGCUGCUCCUAGUACGAGAGGACCGGAGUGGACGCAUCACUGGUGUUCGGGUUGUCAUGCCAAUGGCACUGCCCGGUAGCUAAAUGCGGAAGAGAUAAGUGCUGAAAGCAUCUAAGCACGAAACUUGCCCCGAGAUGAGUUCUCCCUGACUCCUUGAGAGUCCUGAAGGAACGUUGAAGACGACGACGUUGAUAGGCCGGGUGUGUAAGCGCAGCGAUGCGUUGAGCUAACCGGUACUAAUGAACCGUGAGGCUUAACCUU